rnacentral:rRNA from 1 species
CCUACGGGGUGCAGCAGUGAGGAAUAUUGGUCAAUGGCCGGAAGGCUGCACCAGCCAAGCCGCGUGAAGGACGAAGGUGCCAAGCAUUGUCACCUUCUUUUGUCAAGGGACAAAAUCAGGCUCGAGAGCCUGACCGAGGGUACUUGAAGAAAAAGCAUCGGCUAACUCCGUGCCAGCAGCCGCGGUAAUACGGAGGAUGCGAGCGUUAUCCGGAGUUAUUGGGUUUAAAGGGUGCGUAGGCGGACUGUUAAGUCAGCGGUAAAAGCCCGGGGCUCAACCCCGGCGAGCCGUUGAAACUGGCUGUCUUGAGAUGUCGAAAGGUAUGCGGAAUGCGCAGUGUAGCGGUGAAAUGCUUAGAUAUUGCGCAGAACUCCGAGUGCGAAGGCAGCUUACUAAACUGCCACGGACAUUGAUGCUCGAAAGUGUGGGUAUCAAACAGGAUUAGAUACCCUUGUAGUC